rnacentral:rRNA from 1 species
CCUACGGGUGGCAGCAGUGAGGAAUAUUGGUCAAUGGACGAGAGUCUGAACCAGCCAAGUAGCGUGAAGGAUGACUGCCCUAUGGGUUGUAAACUUCUUUUAUAUGGGAAUAAAAUGUUCCACGUGUGGGAUUUUGUAUGUACCAUAUGAAUAAGGAUCGGCUAACUCCGUGCCAGCAGCCGCGGGAAUACGGAGGAUCCGAGCGUUAUCCGGAUUUAUUGGGUUUAAAGGGAGCGUAGGUGGAUUGGUAAGUCAGGUGUGAAAGUUUGCGGCUCAACCGUAAAAUUGCAGUUGAAACUGGCAGUCUUGAGUACAGUAGAGGUGGGCGGAAUUCGUGGUGUAGCGGUGAAAUGCUUAGAUAUCACGAAGAACUCCGAUUGCGAAGGCAGUUCACUGGACUGCAACUGACACUGAGGCUCGAAAGUGUGGGUAUCAAACAGGAUUAGAUACCCGAGUAGUC